ACACGGCCGACGCGGGUCAAAGUGCAGUAUCUCGUCUUAUCAGCUUAAUAUCUCAUACAGGUGCUGUUUGGACCCAAGAUAUUAAACUUAUGGGAGUGCAAGCUGCAAGUUGGUGGAGUGCUUGAAGCUUGCUUCAGCUCCGCCGUGGGUCGGCCCGGCAUUGCCCUAUCUCCGGAAUCGGGCCACGGUUU